UACGUAGGGUGCGAGCGUUAAUCGGAAUUACUGGGCGUAAAGCGUGCGCAGGCGGCUUUGCAAGACAGAUGUGAAAUCCCCGGGCUUAACCUGGGAACUGCAUUUGUGACUGCAUGGCUGGAGUGCGGCAGAGGGGGAUGGAAUUCCGCGUGUAGCAGUGAAAUGCGUAGAUAUGCGGAGGAACACCGAUGGCGAAGGCAAUCCCCUGGGCCUGCACUGACGCUGAGGCGCGAAAGCCAGGGGAGCGAACGGG
rnacentral:rRNA from 1 species